rnacentral:rRNA from 1 species
GAACGGGUGAGUAACACGUAGGUGACCUGCCUCGAAGACGGGGAUAAGUGCUGGAAACGGUAGCUAAUACCCGAUGGUCUCGAUAAUUCGGUUUGUCGAGUAAAGGCUCCGGCGCUUUGAGAGGGACCUGCGGCCCAUCAGCUAGUUGGUAGGGUAACGGCCUACCAAGGCGAAGACGGGUAGGGGGCGUGAGAGCGUGACCCCCCACACUGGCACUGGGACACGGGCCAGACUCCUACGGGAGGCAGCAGUGAGGAAUAUUGCGCAAUGAGCGAAAGCUAGACGCAGCAACGCCGCGUGGGUGAUGAAGGCCUUCGGGUCGUAAAACCCUUUUCUGGGGGAAGAGUAAGGACGGUACCCCAGGAAUAAGCCUCGGCUAACUAUGUGCCAGCAGCCGCGGUAAUACAUAGGAGGCAAGCGUUAUCCGGAUUUACUGGGCGUAAAGAGCGUUGAGGCGGCUUCGUAAGUUGGACGUGAAAGCUCCCGGCUUAACUGGGAGAGGCCGUUCAAUACUGCGGGGCUUGAGGACAGCAGAGGGGGGUGGAAUUUCCGGUGUAGUGGUGAAAUGCGUAGAUAUCGGAAGGAACACCAGUGGCGAAGGCGGCCCCCUGGGCUGCUCCUGACGCUGAAGGCGAAAGCUAGGGUAGCGAACGGGAUUAGAAACCCCGGUAGUCCUAGCCGUAAACGAUGGAUACUAGGUGUAGGAGGUUAAAACUCCUUCUGUGCCGGAGCUAACGCGUUAAGUAUCCCGCCUGGGGAGUACGGUCGCAAGGCUAAAACUCAAAGGAAUUGACGGGGGCCCGCACAAGCAGCGGAGCGUGUGGUUUAAUUCGAUGCAACGCGAAGAACCUUACCAGGGCUUGACAUGUAGGUAGUAGUGAAGCGAAAGCGGAACGAUCCUUCGGGAAGCCUACACAGGUGCUGCAUGGCUGUCGUCAGCUCGUGCCGUGAGGUGUUAGGUUAAGUCCUGUAACGAGCGCAACCCCUGCCGUUAGUUACAAGUGUCUAACGGGACUGCCCGGCAAAACUGGGAGGAAGGUGGGGAUGACGUCAAGUCAGCAUGGCCUUUAUGUCCUGGGCUACACACACGCUACAAUGGCCGG